rnacentral:lncRNA from 1 species
UUAAGAUGUGACUUAGACGCAAGAGGAAAGUUCUACCUUCUUCCUGUCCCUUAGGAAUGGCUUUUGUUAAAGGAUGAUAGGGUUAAGAGUUUUUUAAGAGAUGGCCUCAACCAUUUCCUACCCUUACCUACCUGCUUCAGUGGAUUUCAUAUUUUUCUUUUUGACAUGGGGCCCUUUUCAAAGGAAAUCAUAUGCAGAACCAUAUAAACUGUAUAAAAGCAGAUUGUUAAGUUGCCUAGAAGUGGUGUGUGGUAGUUCAGAAGCCACCACAAGGUGACCAUGCUGUGAUAUUCAAGAUAUGGUUUAUAUAAGGAACUAAAUACCCACCUCACCCCACUAGUGUAUGAGGCAAGUGUCCUAAGUGAAUGGGUAUGUAGUGUUUCAAAUACCCAUCUUAUGCCAAGAGCGAAAGAAAGGUGCCACUUAAUGAUAAACUCAUAAUUGAACUUUGCAAGUUUUGAAGCAGUCAGACUGUAGUCAAAGGGCUAGGGAUUUCAGCCUAAAGGAAUACAGAAUCCCAAGUGGGAGGGGCUCUGCUUGAGCAGGUACUGAUACUAGGACCAAGUGAUGGAAUGUGGCCUAGAUAUUGAUGAUCUCCUGCAUCAUUAUUCCUUAUAGCUGCCAUUGGCUCAGAACUUGCUCAGUGUGCCUGUGCAUCUUGCUGUAGCUACUGGACAUCUCUGUUCUCUCCUGCUUUUCUUUCCUGACUAGGUGACCUGUCCAGGAAGGAUUAGACCCUGUACUCUCCAUUCUUUCCUCACCUCCUUCCUUUUUUCUAUGCCUGGCAGGAGCUGGACAGUUUCAUCUCUUGCAUGUAUCGAAGGAUGACCGCAGUGAUGUGGAGAGCAGCUCAGAGGAAGAAGAUGUGACCACCUGCACAAAAAGUCCCUGUGACAGUAGCUCCAGCAAUGGUGCCAAUCGGGUGAAUGGUCACAUGGGAGGCAGCUACUGGGCUGAAGAGUAAGGUGGUUGCUAUGGGGACUUCAGCACACAUGGACUUGUAGGGCCACUGGCAACAUACUCCUCUUGGCCCUUCCCAUAUCUACUCUUCUGUGAUUGGGAGACUGCAAGGCACUGAGGAGUAUCAAAGAAGCAAAUAUUUUCACUUUGAAAGAAAACUGCCAUUUUGUAUUUAAUAGUCUCCAGGUUCUUUCAGUAAUGUUAUUUGCUCUGUGUGUUUUUGUGUGUUUGUUGAUGUGCGUUUGUGCAUAUGCGUGAGUUUCAUUGCCGGGUUGGGGCACAAUUGUGGACUGGGGCCGUGAGGCCUUCCCUGGUCCCCACUGAACCCACCUUAGUUCCACAUUUGGCUGCAUCUUGAAUUAUGCCGACUCCAGACUGUCUCCUCCUUUUUUGCCCUUGGCUCUUGACACUCUAAACCCCUGGACCAUCUGAAUGGAGCAGUCAAGUGCAGUCCCAGAUUUCUGUACUGUUCCUCUUUCACAGCUGGAAUAUGUCACAUGAUGAAGUUGUAUAGAAACAGAACCAUGGAUGGAUGGCCAGGAUUGCCGUGGUCCCUAGCUAGAUCCCCUUCCUAUCAAUCACCUGAUAGCAACAGGGACAGCUGCCAAUACCCUGCUCUUUACUCAAUGGUACCCAGGGAGGGAGCAUGGGAAGAGGGUGAGCUGAGGGCUGGGGGAGGGCAACAGCCACUGGGUGAGCUGUUCACGGUCUUA